CCGCUCAGCCCGUCCUCGGGGCGCGGCGUGGGCUCCGCGGGCGGCCGGUGAGGGGGGGCGGCGCGGAGGAGGCCCCGGGGGUCGCCGCGCGGGCCGCACGCACGUGGAGCGCUGGGGAGCGGACGCCGCGGCCGGAGCGGAAGCAGACAUAGAUUUCUUGUAAGAAAUGAAGCACCCGGGUACAUGCAGAGAGGCUAACAACAGUAAACAAAUAUUGAUUGCGCCUAGCCAACUCCUUUGAGAUAAAAGGCAUCGGACCCCAAGUCCUCCAGUCGGUUCCAUGAUUAAAUGAUUCUAGAGCUGGCUUCCUUACUGCAGGCUGAGCAGCUCCCUUGUUCUGGUUGGAGGUAUUUUCUGUCUUGGACAUUCGACAUCUUGAAAGCAAGCCUACAUCCCGCAAUUCUCUUCGGAAGCCAACAGGACACGGUAUGUCAACACAGCAGCCCAGGUUUGAUUUGGAGGGCAGAGCUAAAACAAGACCCAGCAUGCUUUAAGUUCAAUUCAGCCAAUGAAAGGACCAGGAACUAAUCUGCAAUAACAACAAAAACACAGUAAGAUUAUAGCUGAAGAAACUCCUCAGUUGUUUAUAUUCUGAAGGGAGCUCCCGGACACUUCCUGGGGACGUCUGGAGAGCACCAGAAUUUACAAUUUAAACUCCUUAUUUCCAGGGCCAGUCCAAAGGCUACAAAUAUAGUAAUUAAAAUUCAGGCAUGUAUAAACAUACAAACAAGCAAACUUUGUAUUGUUGCCAGCCCUUCAAUUUCUUAAUUACAGAGUAGGAAGUCAACGUUACCAGCUCGGAAUCCCUGGGAUAAUCACAAGGGACAAAACGAAGGCAGAUUUUCUUGGCCCGGAAAUAUACUUGUCAAGUUAGUGCAGGAUCAGACUCAAGGGCUGUUGCCUACACGCACUGAGCACGAGUGAUGACAGGGUGCGUGUGGUCACAUACUCGAGGUGGCGGAGGAGACAGGAGGUGGGGGGGCUGUUUCAGCACAGAAGUGAGAAGAAGAAAUGGCAAGAGGCAUAGUGUCUAGUCAAAAUGAGAAAGCCAUUCUGAGCUUCUGGUGACUGUCACUCCACCCAGAGAUGAAGCUGAGGAAUGGAGUGACUGGCAGGGCCAACUGGACAAAGAGGUGGGACCCUGGCUGAGCGGAGCCCAGGAGGCAGCUGUUGUCAGCUGGACCGGGCACUGCCCUUGGGUAAUUUUAGGAGAAAAAGAAAAAGAAGAGAAAGCAUGCCCCAGGCCUUAUCCCAGACCAGAUGGACCAGACCCUCUGGGAGGUAUUAGCAUAUUUGAAAAGCUCCUUAGGAGAAGCCCUGUGUGGCUCACACUGAGCAUCACUAGCUUAAAGGGACUCAGGGCUGUGAAGCAGAGUGGGGGGAUGCCGGGAAGGUAGGAAGGCACCACGUGGCCUACGGGACAGAGUGAACGGGGCGAGGCAGCAGGCUCCACCCGGGUUCCCUGGGGACGUGUAUGGUUUGGAAGAUAGGACUCAACCAUCACUUAAAGGACUGUGGCUCCUUCUACAUGGUCCACGUGUGACCAGCUGAGAUAACCGAGUUUCACACCCAGCUGGCCCCCCCCUAUCUGCGUGGUAUUGCCGCCCUAGUUCCCAGGGUUGUUUUGACAAGGAAAACAGAAAAGUUCCAAACGGACUCACUUUCUCUGCUGUUUGUCACCCGUAAAUUGUUUCCGUUUGAGCUCAGGUCUGAGGACUCAUAAGGUCGCUAGGUGUUGAUGGUGACCUGGUCCCUCACGGCCUGAUACGGGAGUGUUUACACUGCAGAGUCCACCUAUGUGCGGUUGAUGAAAAAACAUUACGGGGACUCCGUCACUGCUACUAGCGCCUCUGAAAAGACAUUCUAAGUGUAUGGAAGUUUCUUCUUCAGGUCUUGAGUUGAUGCAAGUUUCAAACAAGUCCAGACAAAGGGGAGACUAAGAAGCUGAGAUUUUAAGGAUCCCAGGACAGCUUUUUUUUUUUUCUUUUUCCAAUAUAAAUGUCUCUAUUGGUCCCUAUAGGCCCCACGUUAAUCAUUUAAUGGACCUCAGUACAAGUACAAAUGGUACCCGAGAUAAAUAGCAGCACUUACUCAAUUUAUCAUGUUAACUAGUCAGCUUGCAGAACCCCAGGAAAAUUGGAAAGAAUCAGUAAGUUCUGAUAAAUAAAAAGAGAGAGCUUAGGGGGCACCAGGAUUGCUCAGCUGGUUGGACAUCUGACUCCUGAUUUUGGCUCAGGUCAUGAUCUCAAUUGGGCUUGCCCUGGGUGUGGAACCUCUUUAGGAUUCUCAAGCACAUUCUAUUUACUAACUAAUCAAAUAGCUUUGAGAAUGUAUCUCAUGAUAAGACUCUCAGAAAGAGAAGACAAUAUUCCCAUAGAUCUGCAGAAGAGCACAUAUCAUCCCAGACUGUAAAGCCAGUUCUGUUAAAGUAGAGAAUUCAGGCCAUUCACUAAAUUUUUGCCAUUAUUCCCUAAUCAAAUAUGAAAAUGUGUAAAAACGAUGGAAUUGUAUUCUAAUCUUCUUUGGUUUAACAGAAAAAUCUUCUAAUCUUUUUUUUUUUUUUUUUUUUUUUUGAGAGAGAGAGAACAUGAGUCGAGGGGCAAGAGGGAUAGAAGGAGAAGGAGAGAAUCUUAAGCAGGCUCCAUGCCCAAAGCAGAGUCUGAUGUGGGGCUUGAUCUCACCACCCUGCGAUCAUGGCCUGAGCUGAAAGCAGGGGUUGGAUGCCCAACCCAUUAACCCACCCAGGUGGCCAACAGAAAGGUCUUUUAAAGACACCUGGACUUCUGAGGACAUAUGUAUACCCUGUGAAAAGAGAGACUCAUCAUUGCUAGAAUUCUGUAAUUCUGAUUAGUUAACUUAUGUAAUAAUUUCUUGCUUGAGGAAUAAUGUUUAGAUUGAUCUCUCUUUUCUGAGAAGUAUAAACACUUGCCAGAUUUCUUCGCUAACCAUGAAGAGAUUCAUAUCCUUCUCCCUUCAUAUAUAAAAAUGUAAUAAACCGGAGCAUCUGGGUGGCUCAGUUGGUUAAGUGCCUGCCUUCGCCUCAGGUCAUGGUCCCACGGUCCUGAGAUCGAGCCCCGCCAUCAGGCUCCCUGCUCAGCUUUCCCUCUGCCACUCCUCCUGAUUGUGCUCUCUUGCUCUCUUUCUCUCUCUCUAUGUCAAGUAAAUAAAUCAAAUUUUAAAAAAUAGGCAACUAACCUAUUUUUCGUUGCAUUCCCCAUUCAAACCAAGAGUUUGAGAGUCUUUGUCUCAUUUAAAUUCACACUGCUAAGUGGUCUGAUAGAAGUUAAAUUAAGAGACAUCACUGUCAAGAAGUAACAGUCCCUUUUAAGCUUCACACAGGAGAUGACAUUUAAGAUGCUGUAAUAGAACGGUCAGAUUUCUGCAAGCAAAGAAGAGAGGAAGGGGUUGGGAAGGGAGCAUUUCUGGUAGAAGCAGUGGUAAUGCCUUGAAAACAUAAGUGCCAUGUGUUGAAGGAAUACCAUCUGUUUCAGCAUGGUGAGGAGUGGGAGCUGGUUACUGGGUGAAGCUGGAAGAGUGGAAUGGGUCAGAUCAAAAGCUGAAUGAAGCAUUCUAGGACUUUAAAAAAAUAUAAAUCAGUGGUGUGCAGUGAAAUACUUGUGAGUAAGGGGUCGUGUGAUUUGCUGUUCACUGAGAAAUGUAAAUAGCAGGAAGAUGGAAGACAUAUUGAAGAGAGGAAGACCCGGGUACAGGGGUCCCAUUCAGGACGGCACCUGAAUAGUCUCCGCAAAGGGUGACAAGGUCUGUGGCAAUGGAAAGAUAAGGAGAGCAGGAAUUCAAAAGACAUUCCAGAAGUGUAAUCCUCUGGGAAUGAGAAUGAAGAUGAGAGAAAGGUUGGAUAAACCUACAGGUUACUAAGGGAGGGGUUGUAGCAUCCUUCUCUUUUGAAAUUUAUACUCAUGAUAUAUGCACCUGUGUCUACAGGAUGUCUCAGAGGUGAGAGAAACACAUAACCACUGGGGUGAAUUGCAUAACGAUUGGAGGUUUUCCCUAAUUCUAUUAUCUGUGAUUAAAAACCUAAGAUCUGCAAUGCAGUCUACUCCCAGGAAGUCAUCGACAACAACUGAAAUCUACUCUUAUCUCUUGUCUAUGAAGCCACCGCAGCAUUUCUACUCUGGAGGACUCUAAUCCUCUCACCCUGGAAUGCCCAUCUUCCUCCAGAGUGACUUCCAACUUUGCUCAUAUCUCAGACUAUUUCUAUGUGAAUAAUUCAACCACUUCUUUACACCUGCAGAAUGAGUUUUUACCAAGACUGAAUGAAUGAACAUUAUAAGAUACUUCUAUAAAUCCCUCAUUUCUUCCUUUUGAAUCAGUGGCUCCCAACCUCUGAGUAUUUUCUCUUCAAUUUUAAUUUUAUUGUUUUUCUUUGUCUUUAAGUUUCACUCACUCAGUUUUGGUAAUAUUUUUCACAAAGGAUGAACUAUGAAAAUAAAUGAUACAAAGUAAGCCACUGAUGUGUCAUGUCAUUGGAGUAGAUGAUGUUAAGGACUUUCUCAGUUCCAGCUUGAUAAAAA
rnacentral:lncRNA from 1 species